GUAGGUGGCAAGCGUUGUCCGGAAUUAUUGGGCGUAAAGCGCGCGCAGGCGGUUCUUUAAGUCUGAUGUGGAAGCCCACGGCUCAACCGUGGAGGGUCAUUGGAAACUGGAGAACUUGAGUACAGAAGAGGAAAGCGGAAUUCCACGUGUAGCGGUGAAAUGCGUAGAGAUGUGGAGGAACACCAGUGGCGAAGGCGGCUUUCUGGUCUGUAACUGACGCUGAGGCGCGAAAGCGUGGGGAGCAAACAGGAUUAGAUACCCUGGUAGUCCACGCCGUAAACGAUGAGUGCUAAGUGUUAGGGGGUUUCCGCCCCCCUUAGUGCUGCAGCUAACGCAUUAAGCACUCCGCCUGGGAUACGGCCGCAAGGCUG
rnacentral:rRNA from 1 species